UGGAAGGAGCCAGGGGAGGCUGCCCAGGGCACUAAAACCCUUUUAGUGCCCUAGGGCCCCAAUAAAGCAAAUCUGAAUCUCUUGAGGGACUGCUGGGUACCCAAGAGCCACCCUGCUUGAGUGGGAGUGGGGUUAAGGUUGAUGCUGCUCUUGGGGUUAAGCAACUGCUGAAGUAAUGGUAUGGAAAGCACUGACAGCAUCUAAUGGUUUGCCCAGAAUAAACAGAGAACAGGGCCUGUUACAAUCAGGUGUCCUGGGGGCCCAGACCUGGAGAGGAAUUAUUUUAUCUGCCCAGAAUGGGAGAACAGAGCUGACGGGCUGUGGAGUUUAGAGUUCUACACUAAAGCAAUGCAGGAGCUGAAAAAUAUAAAAGCUAAAUUUUAAGGCAUCAUGUGAUUGCUGGAAUAAUUUUGAAUGUGAAGAUGGGAGGCAAUUCUUUGUUCCUCACUCCUGCAGCAAGAUUCCAGGUUUUCCUGGGGAUGUUUCACACUUGUGCUGGCCCAAGCAGAGUGCUCCUGUUCAGUGCAGAAGUUCAGAGAUGCCCAGAUUCUGGAAGAGGAGGAGUUUCCCUGGAGCAAAGAAUGAAGCACAGAAUGGAUGCUUUUGCCAGGCUGCUCUUGGCUUUGGCUGUGAGUUUUUGGCACGGAGCUCUCCUGGGCAUCAGUCUCAGGUGCAGCCCUGGGCAGGGGUAGCAGCAGGGUUUGCUGUUACUGCCUCUGCCCCUGAGGGUGUGAAAUCCCUUCUUGGACAGCCCUGGCCUGCUGAUGGGCACAAGGAAAACACUUCACAGAUGUUACAGCUGCUGGAGUCACCAAAACAGAGACACAGUCAGCAGGGCAGGGCUGAAGUGCAAAAAACAACCCUGCUGGGGCUUGGUGUUGCUUAGGAAAUGCUCAGGGUUUUGUAUUUCUUGAGUGUUUUAAACUUGCCUGAAAUGGAAGUGCUUCCUAAACUUCAACUUCAGGAUUGCACGACUGCACUGACCAUUGUCUGUGCUGAGCAGGCCUGCAGAGCUCAAAGCAAUCCUACCAUAAAUUUCUGUUCUGAUCUGUUUAAAUGUGACUUGAGCAGCAAUCUCUAAACAGAAGUUCAGGCACUGAGUCAGUGACUGCCAGUCCUGUGUCCAUUAGAAGCACAGCAUCAUUAAGUGUGUCAUUGCCUCUCAAUAUCACAGCUGAUGUUAGCAGAUAAAAAUCCUUCCUGGGGAUAUCUUCAUUCUCAGGGACAUUUUGAAGCCAUUCCUAGGCGAGGGCUCCCUCUUCAGUUCUGCAGCAGAGAUCAGCAUUCAUUUCUCUUGGCAAAAAAAUCGGGUGGUUUUUUUUAAAUAUAAAUAAUGGCAAACACAUUCAUUAUCUUUUCAUUAUCUUAUCAAAGACAUUUACUUCAGAAAAGCUAAACAAAAUAAUGUGCUGAACACUGGAAGUUUCAUGACAAAUAUCAUUUGCAGCUCUUGGACUCUGUUUCUCCUUCUUGGGUUGUUUUGUUUUGAGUGAUUUGUCCUGGAUGGAAUGUCAGGUCUUUGAUCUCUGGACUGGUUAUGUGAGGUUAGCAAAAUAAUUGAAAUGGAGGAAAACACAGAUGAUAUAAGAAACAAAUCCACUGAACAAUACAGUGUGUAUUAAACUGGCAGUAAAACAAUUAGGAUGUGCACUCAUGCAAUAAGCAAACAGAAAAAUAUCUGCACACAGAAACAUCUUGAGCAGGGUGAGCAGAGUGAACAAAGCUCAUUCCAAGCUCAGGAUGAUAAUUUAGGCCAUUUCAUGAGCUCAUCUUCGUGUUGUUUGACUAAUAUCAGCAGUUUGCUCCCAUAAGUACAAAAUGAUGUUGAAUUCUAAUGGCCACUUAAGUCAUGGAAACAAUAUAAUUAGAGUAAUAAAUACAACUUCAUGUUUUCAUAA